rnacentral:rRNA from 1 species
UACGAAGGGGGCUAGCGUUGCUCGGAAUCAUUGGGCGUAAAGAGCGUGUAGGCGGUCCGGUAAGUCCGCUGUGAAGGUCGGGGGCUCAACCCUCGAAUGCCGGUGGAUACUGUCGGGCUAGAGUGCGGAAGAGGCGAGUGGAAUUCCUGGUGUAGCGGUGAAAUGCGCAGAUAUCAGGAGGAACACCUAUUGCGAAGGCAGCUCGCUGGGACGUAACUGACGCUGAGACGCGAAAGCGUGGGGAGCAAACAGG